AACGAACGCUGGCGGCAUGCCUAACACAUGCAAGUCGAACGAGACCUUCGGGUCUAGUGGCGCACGGGUGCGUAACGCGUGGGAACCUGCCCUUAGGUUCGGAAUAACUCCCCGAAAGGGGUGCUAAUACCGGAUAAUGUCUUCGGACCAAGGAUUUAUCGCCUUUGGAUGGGCCCGCGUUGGAUUAGCUAGUUGGUAGGGUAAAAGCCUACCAAGGCGACGAUCCAUAGCUGGUCUGAGAGGAUGAGCAGCCACACUGGGACUGAGACACGGCCCAGACUCCUACGGGAAGGAGGAGUGGGGAAUAUUGGACAAUGGGCGAAAGCCUGAUCCAGCAAUGCCGCGUGAGUGAUGAAGGGGUUAGGGUUGUAAAGCUGUUUUAGCCGGGAUGAUAAUGACAGUACCGGGAGAAGAAGCUCCGGCUAACUCCGUG
rnacentral:rRNA from 1 species